GAGAGCACGAGAGGGAAGAGGGUCCGAGGGAGAAGCAGACUCCCUGCUGGCCUAGACAUCAGCCUUAAAGUGAAAGGUUAAAAUCGUCUGAUUUUUGUGAGCAUAUGUCUUCCCUGGGUAUGCAUGUGGCUUUCUAGAUUCCCCUAUACAAACACUGCUUUUGAAUCUCCUGAUUUCCCAAAGUCUUACCCCACUUUCUCCUCCAGCCCUUAGAUGGUAUACUGUAUGCCUCCAGUGAGAAUCUAUUGCCCGGGGUGUCCAUGCGUGUGUAUUCUCUGGUUGCUUUUAUGAGCGAAGCCUGUAGCUUUUCCUACCUGUGUCUCGAAUUAUGUGAGAAAGAGAGAGCAAGCGAGUUCUUCAGGUAUCCCCAGCCAGGUUAGAACAGAGGUACACAAUAAUCUGCAAAUAAGAUCUGCUCUCUCCAUUUUAAAGAGUGGAACUGGGGACCGAGUUGCCACCACUUGUGUCUAAGAUGGUUGCCAUUUGGACAAGGGUUUUUUGAGGGUUUUUUCCCCACGAUUAUAUGGAGGAACAUGAGCUUGGAGCUUCCUAGUCCAACAUCUUUCAGAUGUCCCACCACUAUUAUUUUAUGUGGAUUUACUGCAUACCAAAACUGCACUGAGCUGGUUAUUUUCUCUUUGCCCUCCAGAUAUACUCUCCACCCUUCUCUGUCCUAGUCUGUGUCCGGCAGGCUGAUCUGCACAAACCACAUCAAUGGGUUCUCAGCCCCAGUGGGAGGAGACGGAGGCUGUGAAUUUAAUUCCCUUCCUGCCGUGGACACAAUUUGGCCACAUCUUUCCAUCAAAUAUCACAGCUCUCCUCCAGUGACCCUCUCCCUACGGCUACCCACCCUGAGAUCUGGACCCGGCACAUGUCCCUUCAGACCCGGGGGUAAGGAAGAGCUUUCCAAUCACCAUCACCUUCUGCUGUUUUAGCCCCAAGAUCCUUCAGCGCCCUUUGCACGCAUCCCCAGAUCUUUCCGCACCUUUGUAACUCACCUUUUUAUUACCAUCCCUCUCUUACUCAGCCUGAGAGUGCCAUCUGUUUCCUGCUGGAAGUCUGAGUGACACACUGUGCUCUUGGCGGCUAUUUCUGUUUCAGAGAAGUGCUUCUGAGGUUGGAGUAAUGCGCUCAGAUACCAGUAGAUUCUGGAGGGUACUUUGGGUCAAAAGAUAAGAAUUCACUUUCCUGAACAACUUUGUAAUAUUUAUGAGAACGAUACUCUGCUUGGGGUUCAGAAAAUGUGUCUUAUUAAACACACAGCCUCGGUCCUAUAAUCCGAAAUGCAGACAAAUUUAUGGUUCAGUUCCUGCAAGGCAAGUGAAUGACAAGAAGACUGCCCUCCCUUUGUGGGUGGGCAAAGCAGAGCAGCACCCUGCCGUCACGGGAAGCCUGUCCCAGGAGUGGCAUCAUCCUGCCUUCCCGAAAACUGAGAAGACAAGUGCCCAGGGGAAACUGCAGAGGGAGAUAUCUAUUGUCUCCUGUGUCUAGAAAAGAGCUACCCAUGAGGUGAGAUCAAAUACACGAACUGCUCCUUCUCUAAUGCGUUCUCCUCACUGUCGAAAGGCCUUUCUUAAGCACAGACCCGAUGAGGAGGCCAUUUACUCUGCCAGAAACCUCUAGGGGGCUCUUUGACCGGGACAAAGAAUGACAAAUACUCAGCAUGUGGGUGGGCACUCCCACUCCUGGCUCCCAGGGCACACUUGUCCAAUAAAGCUGCUUUCAGCCGGGGAAACUUUCCAUCGUGGCUCUCCAGGUAGCCAAUACUUAUGUUGCUUUUCAUUUCAGGUCAACGUUAUUUCCCAACCUCGUCCCUUAAGGUAAAAUAUAUUCUGAAUUCAGAAGCACAGCACUGCACAAUGUGGUCCCAAUCUUCCAUCCCAGCACCUGAGCAUUUUUCCUCUUACUCUUUUGUGCCAAAUUGUUAGCUUUAUUCGCACUGUUCACAGCAUAUAUUGGGCAUUUGAACUAUCUGUUAGACUAAUACUGAUACGGUCCUAUGAACUGAAGUUUGCUUUAAACACAAGCACAUACACACAGAACUUGAAUCUGAGCCAAAUAUGUUUAGACUAUUGCAGUAGCCCCAGAUAAUAUUUGUGUAUUAGUUUGGAGCAUUUGCCCAUACACUUAUUUUUAUAUAUUUAAAGGGUACAAAAGGCUUAUUAGAUGAAAACUUGGGAAAUAUAUUCCUUAUGGAGCAAAAGCAACAUGUUCAAGCCCAGUGUGUUUUUAACUGACUCUUUCAGGCAGGUGGCCUCAUGACCUCGGCCUCCUCCAGGGAGAGUGGUCAAUGCAUUCCCGUGUGAGGUUGAAUCUUUUCUUCAUUGUACUUCAGCUGUCCGCAAAUAACAAAUUCCUGCUGUUCUCCCAAGUUGUCUCGAUUUUACCUCUCCCCGGAAAAGCCGAUGACAUCAUUUAUCUGCUGACUUAUUUUAGGUGUGAGCUUAUUUAACACUAAUCUACUGAAUUCACAUUAGAAUUUCAGCUUCAGUUUCUUAAGCAGAGGAGGAAAACAAAAACAGGAUCUUUACGAUUAGAGUUAAAUUUUAAAAAUGUGCUUAGAGAAAAGAAUUUGAUUCUAAAUAUAGACAACUAUACACAACUGCUUGUCACUGCAUUGGAGUUCACGGCCGGUUGAGAUUCAGAUGAUGUUCAUUCUACCAAUAUUCACUGAGAGACUGCUCUAUCUCGGGACCAGUCUGAACACUGGGGAAGAGUGAAGGUCUGAGGAGGCCACUGCCCACCCUCCCAGAGCACAGAGGCUUGUGGGGGACAGAAGACAUGCCCACAAAUUCUUGUCACCCAGUUUAAUUUUAAACUUCACUCUUCAGAUAAUAUUUUCAAGCUACCCUUUAGUGAGCACUUACUGUGGGGUAGGCAAUCAUUAUUUCACCUAUAUUAUGUCUUUUAAUUCUCAUGGCAGUUUCUAUACAGUAGGGUAUUAUUCUUUCUACUUCAGAGAUGAGAAAAACAAAGCUCAUAAAGUAUGGGUAAUGCAAGGUUCAAUUAGCUAGUAAGCCCAUGCUCACCAGGAGCCAGAAAUUAAUUAAUGCAGCUAUACUUUUAGACAAGCUUUGAAAACAUCGAAACGUAGUAACACAGCCAAGGUUACAAAUAAUCCUAAAACCGAAUUGUCAGCUCCUGGAUAAUUCAAGAUAAUCCAAAUAUGUGGUAGUUGGUAGUUGACGACCCGAAAGAUAUUUUUUGUUCAGAGUUAAUUUCUUUACCGGAAUCUUUUUUAAACAAAUAAACCCACUGGAAAAUAUUUUCAAAAUCUUUUUUCUUCCAAGGCAGCAAAAAUAAAUUUAGACAAAGCAAAAAAUAAUUGUCAAUUUUGAUCUCAGCAGAUUUAUCUUCAUAAAUAACCCAGGGUGGUAUGUGGAUGUGUGGCUCAAAGUGAUAAGAUUAUAAAAUAUCAACUAGAAACAGUCACAAUAGUGGAGUGUGGGAGUGCAGAUUUUUUAGAUUUGGCAUAUUUGGAAUAGCUUUAUUAUUAUUAUUAUUAUUGUUUUAGCACAUUUUGAAAGUAGAAACAGAGGCUUAGGAUGGGAUAAUACCGUUGCUACGAGGGGCUUUGGUUUCUCUGCCAUCCAAUAGCUUGCAUUUAGAAAUUGCAGUUUGAAGGAACAUGCCUCUCUUUCAGUGAACCUUCUCUAAGGGCCACAGAAUAGGUGUUGUUGAGAUCCUGAGAGCAGCCUUCAUAUUGAGGGACCGGGGUUAGCUGUGGAGUGACACGGAUCUUGAACCUUAGACCCAACCUCGUUUGCACAGAGGCCAGAAAUGAGAAGUAGAGUCAAGAGAAACUGGUGAACAAAACCUGACCUUCCUUCCAGCCGCUCCCUGCAGAAAUGCCCUGCACAAAUGCAAAAAAGCAGAGUGGCGUUCAGCUGGAAGAUGGCUCGAGAAUGUCAUGAUCAAAAUUUCCUCUCUCCGGGACCUGGCUAUUGAGGUGGAAGCCUUGGGCCGGGAGGCACUGCAGAAUCUUCAAGGACAAACAAAAAAUGGAGGACCUUGACUUGCCCACAUUAAAGUCAGUCAGCAGCAACUGGAGAUUCGAGUCCAGGGCUCCAGACCCACCAGAAAGGGCCAAUCUCUCUAUUUCCUAGCCUUGAAGGAUUUACCUGGAAAGUUAAGAAAGUCUCAUUUCCUGGAAUUGAAGCCCUUUCAGACAUCCUGCCUCCACUGCGCUGCCUCGUGGGCGGAAGGUUCUCACCGCCGCCGUCACGGGGGUCCGCCUUCAAUCCGAGUGCUCAGCAGGUGUUUCCAAACCCCCAGGAGGACUGUGCCCUGUGCUCUAGGCAGAUUCCUCCCCUCCUCCCUCCCUUCUCUCCUCUCUCUUCCCGUUUUCUCCUUUCUCCCCUCCUGCCAGUAUAUUUAUUGCCGGAUCCCUGACACUGAGAAUUUGUUCCUGAUCUGGGGUUAGGCUGAGCUCUUAGGUUUGAAGAUGCCAGCGACCAGUGUUGAAAGCACCUUGAGGGAGGAGAGCAUUUACGGGGUGUGUUGAAGAAAGGCACUCAGCCGAUUGGAAAGGCUGAAAUGGUUUGGACUUAUCGAAGCCGACCGGCGUAGCGGAGGGGCAAACGGCGAAGCUCCGGCAGAGUCGAUGCGCAAAGAGCAGGAGGGCAAAGCUCAAGCGGCAACGCGUAUCUAAUAUGAUGGUGGAGCGCCUCCUCCGGUUCCUCCUGCCCUGUGAUGGCCACAAGGGGAGCCGAGAGAAAAGUGGAAAAAAUGCUCUGGGGAGGCAUGCGGAGGCAGCUACCACACUGGAGCCGCUGACCCAGACACUCCGCAUGAGUUCUGCGGCGAUUUCCAGGCGGGGCGGCUGGGAAACAGGCUCAGAGGGUUAGUGGUUUCCCAGGAAGGGAUGCACUUCUUGCGAUGAAUCACCCUGUGUCAAGGAGGAUUUUUAUGACAUCAGCUUCCAAGCAGAUCACCGAGACUCCACCACUCAAGAGGGCACUGGAGCUUAACACCACAGGAGCCCACACUUGAUGUUUUCUUUCUUGUCUUUUCCAAGGGGACAUUUGGACCAAAAGUGGCCUGUGGCCCCUGGAAACUCUGAGUAGUGGCUUGGCAUCCUAGGAAUCCGUCUGUUGUGCUUUGUGGAAGAGCCUGGAAAGGUCUAGUUUUGUCUGGAAAACAAAACUCAUGGUUGUUACUGUGAAAGUGUAACCCCGCUUACCCCCUUCUAAUAAAUGCUGCAAUCUCGAAAUAACAUGAA